rnacentral:tRNA from 1 species
GGGUCCGUGGUCGAAUCCGGCAAGGCGUCUGCCUGCAGAGCGGAAGAUUGUGGGUUCAAAUGUCCCACCGGGCCCU